AGGCUGGCCAGGGGCUGUGGCCGGAAGAGCCUGAGUCUGGGGCCCACAGCAGGCCAGGCACAACUCUGCCACUCCCCAGGGAAGGAGAUGACUUUUAUCAUCAGUACAUGUCACAAGAAAACAUUUAAAAUGACACUGAAACAAUCAUUGAAAUCAUGGUGCAUGGAGGAAAAAGCCACUUCUCGACAUGGUCUGCACAUACAGUAGAUACAUUCAUUAUUGUCCAAGGGAAGACAGUAACUGCCUUUCAUUUUAAAGAGCUUGGUGGAGAGGCUGAAGAAAUGUGCUGCAGCUGAAGCUACCUUUCCCCCAAGCACAGGAGGCCUCAGCUCCUGAAGCUCUGAAUUUACAGUACACAGUAGCAGACGGCUUGCCCUUUGGAAGGCUCCAUGGAAAGAAGGCUCAUCCCUGACUUGGGGCAACUUGACCGAAGUUUCUACUCUCCAGAAUCUCUUUUCUGUGGUCACCCGACUGGCAAGUGGAAGAUGGAAGCACCAAGGUUCCUGCAAAAGAUAGAUCAAGACCUUUGCUAUCAACCUUUCAGCCCAUCCCAAUGGCCUUGAAUGGCACGUGUCCUGGAAAACCAGGUCUGCUGCCUGUACGCCCGAGCGAAACCUAUGCUCAGCUGGAGAAGAGGACAGCCUUUCAGGGUUCAUGAAUGUUCUCCCUAGAACAGAUGGAAUGGCAGCUACAAUGCCCUUGGGAAUGUGAGGUCCUGGUGGAGUCUCUGGGGAAGUGAAAGAAGCUCCUUUAACUUGACUCCACUCACAGGACAAAGUGCAGGAGACAGAACAGAAUGGAUAGAAGAGGCUUCUCCUUUCUUCUUGCUCUAGAGUGAAGGAGAUGGACAGUUACCUUGAAAUGCUACGGGAAGGAUGAGCAUGGAGAGCUGCCUGUUAUUCUGAGCCAACUUCUGGCAAGAUGCUGGGUGAAUCGACUGCCUAGAAUUGAAGAACUGGCUCUCAAGCAGUUGCUGCUAAAGAAUGCCAGCAAACAAACCACACACAACUGUGGUAAGCCAGGCGGAAAUCCCUCCACCCUCUGGCAUGAGAUGGCAGUCUAGAAAGGACUCUCCAUGAGAUGCCUGGGGCCUGAGGAAGCAGAGGCAUGGACACACUGUUCUACGAUGACUCAGGGCCACCCAUGAGUGGGACAUUCGUGGGGAUGAGAUGGGAGCAGGGAGAAGCAGCAGUUGUAAUGGCCAGCCACGUGGGGACCAGUUCCGUGCCUGGCCUUUCUUUCUCUGGUGGAAGCCAUCUUGUUUUGAUCCUAAGAAAAAUGGGUGUCAUUUUAUCCAGGAAUCUAAGAAUUAUAAUAAUAAAUUAAUAAAGUGAAUGUGAUAAUCAAACUGUGAGGAUACGAACAACAUAAGAUUUAAUGAUCGUUGUCAAAACCAGUCCGUAGGGCUGUGGAACUUUAUCGUACAAUUCGACUUUGAUAUGUGUUUAAAUAUAUUUUCUAAGUUAUCCACAACCCAAAACAGGACCCCUUAGAGGUAAUCUAGAGGAAUCCCUCACGUUACAGACAGAGCCACUGGUUAAGGGUCUAGAGUCACACAGGGAGUUACUGCAGAAUCACUACUGGAACCCUGUGCUCUUUCUGCAGGGAUUCGGAUAUUUUGGUUGGAUUUGCAUUCUUACGUCAAUGUAUGUUCUCCAACUCUGCUCUUACAUAUUGAAAGGCAGGCAGCUAUUUUUAAACACCCUGCCUAUUAGCCUUCGGAACAUAAUAAUAAUGGCAAGCACCCUUUAUUGCUUCGCCGAGCUGCAGACACCCUUCUAGGGUGUGAACAGAGCUCAGUAAAGAUAGCAGCCUCAGGUCUGUGUGUUGCUUUGAGCCACGAGCUGGUCUGCAGGCAGCAGCCAUGGGCCGUGCCUGUGUUGGUAUGUUUAAGAACAUUGGCGAAUACAGGAAUUACAUGGACUAGGUUUAGAAAACAAACAGUAACGUACAAAAAGGAAGGUUUGAUAUGGACUGCAAGGACAUAAAGCAGGUGCACAUGCGUGCACUACCAGAAUAGCUACACGGUGGGAAGGAAUUCCAGAACCACGUGAGAAAGAGUUGUUAGGACAAUGCAGUCGUGAAAUACCAUGUUUCCAACCCUAUCACUCUAUUUUAAAAUAGAUAAUAAUUAUAAUUUUUAUUAAUAUCAAACAAAUUAGCUUUGGGACCUAUGGCCCUAUCUUAGGGGUCACGGCUGCAGUCCCCUUUCUUGCAGACCUGGCAGGCUGCGCAGAUAACUGCCCCCAGCGUUGGCCAACUCUGGACGCUCUCUUCUCCCAUAAAGACACCAGAGAGUGCUCUUCAGCCCCCGUGUUUCAAAGGGAGAACCCAAACCCACCCUAACUUCUGGCAAGACAAAUCACUUAUUAUAGCUGCUCACCUCUUCACAGAGUACCCACCUCCAGGAAAGGUCACUAAAGGUCCUGCCUGGGCCCCUGGCGUGGCACAGGGUCAUGGUCAGUCUUCUCUGGAGCCUGAGUCAGGGCCUGGUGGGGAAAGGCGGUGUCACUUAUAAGGGAGUGGGGAGGUGAGAGCUGGAAAGGGCUGGAAUGGCACCUUUUUAAAGGAAUAAAGCCCUUUAAAGAUCUUCAACUCAGGGACUUGGUCUCUUUGAGAAACAGCACCAUAAUCUAAUUGGAAUAAAAAAAGGAUCUAUUUAAUUAGAAAGAGACUGUUAGGAACUGGAAGCUGGGGAAAGGAGUAGGGACUCACUGGGCCCUUCUCAGGGAUAACAAAGAAUCAAGGGCCUCAGUAGCAAAUUACAGAGUUUAUUUUGAAAAUUCAAAUAAAACCACAAAAAUUCAAAUAAAAACACAUUCUAGACUAUAUCUUUGUAAGCUUUGGGGGACAAACCUCAAAGAGUCCUCCCAAAGGAAAACGCACCAGCUAAGCCAGGUGCCUCCAGGCUCGUAUAAAGGGGAAGGUGAGGUCAGGAGGCCAACAGCCAUUUUUUAGAAGAAUGACACCGCAAGACGUUCCUGGUCUACUAUUUCGCAUGAGGAAAACACGCUUUGGCUUCUGGUGGCUCAAUUGAGAUAAAAGCAGAGAGAGGUACAAUAAAAGGAAUUCAUAACAAACAUUAUGAACACCUGCUUGGAUUAAAAAGUUGACGGUUUCCUGAAACGGGCUCUGCUAAAAGGGACUUCCUGGAGAAAUCAGAUGCCUCUGGAAUGGAAGACGUCCAGGAAAGUUGGGAUGGCUGAACAACAGGU